rnacentral:lncRNA from 1 species
UAUAUUUAUGUAUUUAUUUUUAUUUGUUAUUAUUAUUAUUAUUAUUAUUUUUAGGAAAGCUUGACCUUCUCUUUGAUGUCCUUUCAGGUACAGAUGUCCAAAUGGAUCUUGCCCUGGAAAAAAGAGAGAGUUGACCUAUAUCAGUUGCCAUAAUGAAGCAGAAAGAAAAAAAAAAAAGUCUUAUUGAGCCCAAAUGGUGGGAGAGAGGAUUUGUCUUCCCUUGUGAAAAAGGGGUUACACUAACAAAACUCAGCAAACAAGUGCACAAACUUUCUUCAAGCUACCCUUCAAAGUACAAAUCAACACUGCACUUCAAUCAGGAAGGCUAGCUGUUCUCCCAAGGUAUGUCACUGAAUGCACACACAUGCAGUGCAGGAAUUGCACAACAUUUCAAUCUAUUGCAGGUCUCAGGUGAGGAAAGGAAAGAGGGACAAAAGAGGAAACUCUUCUAUGGGACCAUAAGGAACUUUAGAAAUAAUGCUACAUUUACUUGCAGAGAACCCCUCUCAUUCUUCAACACCAAAGUGCAUUGAGAAGUUGUCAUUUCUGAUUUCGUGUAUGCUGUAUAUUAGCUGCAUACUUGACAGAAGCUGAGGACUACAUUUGGACCUGACUACAAUAUCAACAAUUCUGAAAAUUAUACUGCAAGUCUCAAAAUAUUUGGGUUCUUCCUCAAAAAACUCAGUUCGCUGGACCAAAAUGUUUACAAGAGAGUUUAAUUUAAA